UAGGGAAUCUUCGGCAAUGGACGCAACCCUGAUCGAGCCACUCCGCGUGAGUGAAGAAGGCUUUCGGAUUGUAAAGCUCUGUUGUUAGAGAAGAAAGUGGGUAGGAGAGGAAAAUCUACCACUUGACGUUAACUAACCAGAAAGGGACGGUUAAUUACGUGCCGGCAGCCGCGGUAUACCGAGGGUCCCGACCGUUGUCCGGAUUACUUGGGCGUAAAGCGAGGGCGGGCGGUUCUUUAAGUCGGAAUUUAAAGGCCGUGGCUUAACCAUGAUACGCUUUGGAAACUGGAGGACUUGAGUGCAGAAGGGGAGAGUGGAAUUCCAUGUGUAGCGGUGAAAUGCGUAGAUAUAAGGAGGAACACCGGUGGCGAAAGCGGCUCUCUGGUCUGUAACUGACGCUGAGGCUCGAAAGCGUGGGGAGCAAACAGG
rnacentral:rRNA from 1 species